UCACAUUGAGUAGGCUGAGGAGGAAGAGGAAGAGGAGGGGUUGGUCUUGCUGUCUCAAGAGUAGCAGAAGCAGAAGAAAAUCCAAGUUGGUCAAAGGAAGAGGAGGAUCAAUGGCCUUUUUUCCUCCCCCCAACCUUUUUUUUUUUUUUUUUUUUUAAACAAAGAAGCAAAGUGAGAACAUUAAGCCCGAAAGAGAACUGUGUUCAUUGCAGGACUUUUUGAGGUCUGGUUAAGCCAUUUAUAUAAAGAAAUUACACAGUUCCUCUUUGGUAACCUCAAUCCUGAAAGUUAGUGUGACAGGCCUACAGCUUUUUGUUCUCUUCAUCACUCCAGAAGUUGCAGACUGCGCUCAGCAAGACCUCACAACAUGGAGGAAAAUUAAAGAGAUAAGUGGUCCAUGGAGUAUCCCCUUACCCCACCAUAAAUUGGCAUAAUUUUGUGCACAAUCCAGGGAGAAGAAAAAGAAGACCAGAAGCUUGCAAACCAUUCGAGAGAAGGAAGGGAGCUUUGUCAUGUUGCCAUCUGAGGGACCAUUUCAGUAGAGCCUUUUAAGACACAUGUUUUGGAAUACAGUCAAAUGCGUGCUGCUGUAUGACCAGCCUAUUUGAACUACUUAAGCAUCAACUAAUUAAUCUGCAAGUGAAGAAUACUUCCAGCAUUACUCUAUAAUUAGACAAUCUCAGGAGGAAACAAGAGGAUUUCAAAGGGGAGUCAGAUGGUUUCGCAGACCGCUACAUCAUUUAUUUUUUCAUCACUCAGAUUAUGCCUCCAAAUCCUACAGAAGUAUAACAACCAUAGAACAGACAAACACCAACAGCAUCAACAACAGAGAAACUCAGUCCAGGAGGAUAUGAAACCCUUUGUAAUAAAGAAAGCAACAUCCAUG
rnacentral:lncRNA from 1 species